GACCCGGUAGCGGAAGGUACCGCAUCCCCGCCGUUUGUCAUAGGAUUUGGAAUUCCAGUGGAGCCCCUGGUUCGACUCCAGGCUGGGUCA